UACGUAGGGUGCAAGCGUUAAUCGGAAUUACUGGGCGUAAAGGGCGCGUAGGCGGCAUGACAAGUCACUUGUGAAAUCUCUGGGCUUAACCCAGAACGGCCAAGUGAUACUGUCGCGCUAGAGUGCAGAAGGGGCAAUCGGAAUUCUCGGUGUAGCGGUGAAAUGCGUAGAUAUCGAGAGGAACACCAGAGGUGAAGACGGGUUGCUGGGCUGACACUGACGCUGAUGCGCGAAAGCUAGGGGAGCAAACGGG
rnacentral:rRNA from 1 species